AGAAUCAACGCUGGCGGCGUGCCUAACACAUGCAAGUCGAUCGAGAAAGUGGAGCAAUCCAUGAGUAAAGAGGCGCACGGGUGAGUAACACGUGACUAACCUACCCUCGAGUGGGGAAUAACCUGGGGAAACCCGGGCUAAUACCGCAUAAUACCCACGGGUCAAAGGAGCAAUUCGCUUGAGGAGGGGUCGCGGCAGAUUAGUUAGUUGGCGGGGUAAUGGCCCACCAAGACGAUGAUCUGUAUCCGGCCUGAGAGGGCGCACGGACACACUGGAACUGAAACACGGUCCAGACUCCUACGGGAGGCAGCAGUGGGAAUUUUGCGCAAUGGGGGAAACCCUGACGCAGCAACGCCGCGUGGAGGAUGAAGUCCCUUGGGACGUAAACUCCUUUCGACCGGGACGAUAAGUGACGGUACCGGAUGAAGAAGCCCCGGCUAACUUCGCGCCAGCAGCCGC
rnacentral:rRNA from 1 species